GAGUUUGAUCAUGGCUCAGAUUGAACGCUGGCGGCAGGCCUAACACAUGCAAGUCGAACGGUAACAGGAAGAAGCUUGCUUCUUUGCUGACGAGUGGCGGACGGGUGAGUAAUGUCUGGGAAACUGCCUGAUGGAGGGGGAUAACUACUGGAAACGGUAGCUAAUACCGCAUAACGUCGCAAGACCAAAGAGGGGGACCUUCGGGCCUCUUGCCAUCGGAUGUGCCCAGAUGGGAUUAGCUAGUAGGUGGGGUAACGGCUCACCUAGGCGACGAUCCCUAGCUGGUCUGAGAGGAUGACCAGCCACACUGGAACUGAGACACGGUCCAGACUCCUACGGGAGGCAGCAGUGGGGAAUAUUGCACAAUGGGCGCAAGCCUGAUGCAGCCACGCCGCGUGUAUGAAGAAGGCCUUCGGGUUGUAAAGUACUUUCAGCGGGGAGGAAGGGAGUAAAGUUAAUACCUUUGCUCAUUGACGUUACCCGCAGAAGAAGCACCGGCUAACUCCGUGCCAGCAGCCGCGGUAAUACGGAGGGUGCAAGCGUUAAUCGGAAUUACUGGGCGUAAAGCGCACGCAGGCGGUUUGUUAAGUCAGAUGUGAAAUCCCCGGGCUCAACCUGGGAACUGCAUCUGAUACUGGCAAGCUUGAGUCUCGUAGAGGGGGGUAGAAUUCCAGGUGUAGCGGUGAAAUGCGUAGAGAUCUGGAGGAAUACCGGUGGCGAAGGCGGCCCCCUGGACGAAGACUGACGCUCAGGUGCGAAAGCGUGGGGAGCAAACAGGAUUAGAUACCCUGGUAGUCCACGCCGUAAACGAUGUCGACUUGGAGGUUGUGCCCUUGAGGCGUGGCUUCCGGAGCUAACGCGUUAAGUCGACCGCCUGGGGAGUACGGCCGCAAGGUUAAAACUCAAAUGAAUUGACGGGGGCCCGCACAAGCGGUGGAGCAUGUGGUUUAAUUCGAUGCAACGCGAAGAACCUUACCUGGUCUUGACAUCCACGGAAGUUUUCAGAGAUGAGAAUGUGCCUUCGGGAACCGUGAGACAGGUGCUGCAUGGCUGUCGUCAGCUCGUGUUGUGAAAUGUUGGGUUAAGUCCCGCAACGAGCGCAACCCUUAUCCUUUGUUGCCAGCGGUCCGGCCGGGAACUCAAAGGAGACUGCCAGUGAUAAACUGGAGGAAGGUGGGGAUGACGUCAAGUCAUCAUGGCCUUUACGACCAGGGCUACACACGUGCUACAAUGGCGCAUACAAAGAGAAGCGACCUCGCGAGAGCAAGCGGACCUCAUAAAGUGCGUCGUAGUCCGGAUUGGAGUCUGCAACUCGACUCCAUGAAGUCGGAAUCGCUAGUAAUCGUGGAUCAGAAUGCCACGGUGAAUACGUUCCCGGGCCUUGUACACACCGCCCGUCACACCAUGGGAGUGGGUUGCAAAAGAAGUAGGUAGCUUAACCUUCGGGAGGGCGCUUACCACUUUGUGAUUCAUGACUGGGGUGAAGUCGUAACAAGGUA
rnacentral:rRNA from 1 species